UGGGGCAAUUCCAAAGAGUUCUUCUGAUUUGAGGAUAUAGAUAAAUGGCAGAACACUUGCCUAGCUCCAGGUUCAAUCUCCAAAAAAAAAAAAAAAAAAAAAAGGAGUGAUUCUAUUAGCAGUCCUUUAAAGGUGCAGUUCAGGGGAUAGAACCCAGGGCCUAGAACAUGAUAAGUGUGACAUCUCUAAUCAUUCAUUAGCUUUUCAUAAGGAUUUUCUUGGGUGUUCCUGCCCAAGAGUAGAGUUGUGCAUGUUACAGUCUUUAGUUUUAGUUGAAACACUGGCUAACUAAAGUGGGUGAUUCUCUCAUGAGCAUUAAUUCUUCAAUUAGCACCUUGGCUAACAUUUGAUAUUGUCAGACCCGAAGUUUUUGCCAAAUAUGUUAUUUGCUAAACUUAACAAUCCUAUCAGGUGUUUUUUUUUUUCAUUUCAGUUGACGACUCAAGUAUUCGAUGAUAAAUUACAUAAAAUAAAGUCUAUUAAAUAAUAAGCAAGUUGGAUCUGACCCAGGUCUGCAGGAUUGCAAAGCUCUUGGUUAACAUGAAGUCAUGUAGACAUGGCGGGACUCCCAAGACUGUCACUAGAGCUGAGUAUGGGCAAGUGUGAGAGAGGAGCCGAGAUCCGGGGUUUAGGAACCAGAAGUGCAGGAGGGACAGAGAGCAAGUGGACAGCAGAACCUAGAGAAACCACUUGUCUAUAGCUCUGACAUGCAAGGCUGGUGUUAGGAAGGGAAAAGCUGAAACACGGCCGUGGAUUCUUUGACCCUCUUUCCACAGUGUGGAACCUGGGCUUCCCUCCCUAAAGGGCCUCCGACCACUUUGCUGCACGGACAUUGUCAGAAGCAGCUAUUAGUCUCCAGGGCCAGGCCUUAAGACACUGACAGCUUCUGCUUAUCUCUCAGAUCGCUUCCUCUGUGGGAAAGUUGGGAAGUUACACCUUCCUGAGGAGAUGAUUAAGGCUUUGGAGAGACUGAGAAAGCCAUUUGAGGUCAGAGCCUGCACGAGAGGGAACGUAUCAUCCAGGGGUGGAGGAAGCACACGGAGACAUUCAACUGGUGCACCAGGCUGAGAGAAACAGGGUCUGGAUAUCCACUGCAUUGCUUCUGCUAAGGUCCCUCAUCCUCCUCUUGGGCUGUGAGAAGCUCUCUUUCCUUAGCUGUACUGUGGAGGCAGAUGCUAAGGGUUCAGGGCUCUUCCCCUGCUCUCCACAUGGGAGAAAGGCCGGAAACACACAUGCCUGUCUCACCUGAGGGGUGUCCCACUCUGCAUGAUGCCUGGUACCUGUUCGGGGCUGCAGAGAGGCGUGCUUGCCACUCCCAUGCAGGUUUUAUUUUAUUUUUAACUAUGCCUAGGUGUGGUAUCUGUGCAUAUGAGUACAGAUGUCAAUGGGGGCCAGAAGAGGGUGCUGGAUCCCUUGGAGCUGGAGUUACAGGUGGUUGUGACUUUUGAACUCAACUGGGGUCCUCUGGAAGAACAGUACCUGCUCCCAACUACUGAAUCGUCUUCCUAGCCCCGAGACCAGGACUUUCUUGAAAGCAACUUCUGCUGGACCUUAGGCCUCUGUCAGUCCUCAAGAAGCUCACCAGUGUUGGCUGGCCCUGUGUGCGUGCAUAUCACCGCCUGUGUCAUUAGGGAGACUGCUUAGCCCAGCUGCACAAGACUCCUAGUCCUUAGCACCUUUGGUGGGAAGUCCUCUUGGGCCAAGUGGGCUCCCGCGGAGCUCUUUCCAGCCAAGUCUCCGUAUGCCUGGUGGGCGGUGUAGAAACCCAAGUACCGCUUGGCAGGAGCUCUGCCGUGGGAACUGUUACAACCCAAACAGUCACUGUGUACACAGUGCUUCACAUGUCUCCUCCGUGUGCCUGGCAGCAGUCACUGGAAACUGCAAGACUCUGUGCAAGCCCUAGAAAUGUCUGUGUUACAGGAAGUGCCCGCGACUCACCGGACAGCUUGCUAUAGCAUCUUCUAGGCACCCGAAAAGCCACUGAGUAUUUCAAUUGUCAUCUUGAGGGAAACAUACCCAGGUCAGUCCUUCCACUACUGGUCUGAAAUUGAGAUUUUUUUUUGGUCAUCUGACCUCCUAGUGCCUUGCUCUGGAUGUGACAAUUCGGUUUCUUUCUAAUGAGUUUCCAGUUCAAGGUCAGAUGCAGUGUAAGAACACCUGCUCCAGGCGAGCCCCAGCCUUUGCACUCCAUUCUGGACUUUGACCGCUGUGUAGAGUGAAAUGUGGCCAGGCUGACUCACUACACAGCCUCCCAGACAGUGAGUGGGUGAUCCCUACUGAGGAGUGCAGAGCUCAUAAUGAUAAAACCUGGCAAGCUUGAACUUGACUACUGAUUCUGAGUAGCAGAGAAGGCAGCGGCAGUAUCCACAGGACCCCCACCCUCCCCAGCUCUUCAGGGUCUGUAUCUCCCCCUCUCCUGCUGUGGGCCGCCUCUGUCCCCUGCCAAGGUCUCUCACCACCCUGGCUUUCUUUGUUCCCUCCUCCAGAGCCCUAGACUGUCCGGCCUCACCCACAGUAGAUGCUGGAGUCAUCGAUGUCCAGGGCGGCUGUCUCAGUUUUUUCCCGGUUCUGUGACUUCUAUCCCUGGUCACUCUGGGCAGCUGGGUGGGCAGUGGUCAAGUGUGGGAGAGAAGAGACAGGAGGCAAAGAAAGAAAUGAGUGCCUGAACCUGGGUCUGAGGGCUUAGCUGAUGAACACUGAACUUCUGGGAUUUAAGCAUUCCAGAAUGUUCUUCCCCUUUAGCCAGACUGUGUUCUACAGGAUCUUUAGAUCCUCAGAGAAAAUGAAAACAUUCCCACUGUGAACCUAUUAAAGUGCAAAAUACUG